rnacentral:rRNA from 1 species
UCUUCGGAUUGUAAACCGCUGUCAAGAGGGACGAAUACAAUUGACGGUACCUCUGGAGGAAGUCACGGCUAACUACGUGCCAGCAGCCGCGGUAAUACGUAGGUGACAAGCGUUGUUCGGAUUCACUGGGCGUAAAGGGUCCGCAGGUGGUUUGAUAAGUCUGACGUGAAAUACCGGAGCUCAACUCCGGAACUGCGUUGGAGACUGUUGAACUGGAGUAUCGGAGAGGAAAUUGGAAUUCCAGGUGUAGCGGUGGAAUGCGUAGAUAUCUGGAAGAACAUCGACAGCGAAGGCAGAUUUCUGGACGAUAACUGACACUCAGGGACGAAAGCAUGGGGAGCAAACAGGAUUAGAUACCCUGGUAGUCCAUGCCCUAAACGUUGUAAACUUGAUAUGGGGAGAUUUACUCCUUUCCGUGUCGAAGCUAACGCGAUAAGUUUACCGCCUGGGAACUACGGCCGCAAGGCUACAACUCAAAGGAAUUGACGGA